AACAGGUGCAGCUCCAGCGAGGCGGUGCUCCCUGCUGGGUCAGAAGCCGCAGCUCAAGGAUCACCUGCGGAAGGUGGCAUUUCCCAAGACCGGAGCUUCCCGACAUCCCGCCACCUCCCGCAGCGCUGGUGCCAGUCCUGUCGGAUAAGGGGCAAGUGUAAGACCGGCCUCAUCAGCUCCAGCAAUUGUAACAAAGCGCCAUGGGCGGGGGCUUCAACACUAGAAAUUGUUCCCUCGCAGCCUGGGGGCUGGAAGUCCCAGACCAAGGGGCUGCUGGGCGGUUUCUCCCAAGGCCUAUUCAUGGCCCGCAGACGGUGGCUUCUCCUGUGUCCUCCCACGGCCGCUCCUCUGCACACACGCAUCCCUGGUGUCGCUUUCUCUUCUUACAAGGACACGUCCUAUUGGGUCAGGGCCUUCCUCACAACCUCAUUUAACCUUAAGUCCCUCCCUCAAGGUCCUAGCUCCAGAUACAGUCCCGUUGGGGCUGGGCCUCAGCUGCGAAUCUGGGGGCACGACUCAGUCGGCAGCUGUCUGUGUCCUGCAUGCGCCUCCACUGACCUUCCCAGGGUUCUCCCUGUGUCCUGGUGCUGCUUCUUCACCCAGAGCGCUGCCACCCACUGCUGAGCUUCAGACAUGUGACCUGCCCAGUCCCCUCUGCAAGCCCUGCACCUUCCUCAGUACCAACCAGCAAACCCGUGGCUGCACCGGGGCCAGCAGACACUCUCGGGCAGAGUGCUGGGCACCCUGGCCUCCUGGGCACCCUGGCGCUUGGCACCCUGGCCUCCUGGGCACCCUGGCGCUGGGAAACCUGGCCUCCUGGGCACCCUGGCGCUGGGAAACCUGGCCUCCUGGGCACCCUGGCGCUGGGAAACCUG
rnacentral:lncRNA from 1 species